CUAGGUUUCGGUUUGCGAAUUUGUUCAGUCAGUCUUUCUCAAGAAUUAUCUUAGCCUAAGAGUCAGACAAGCCCAGGACACAAUAAAGUAUACAAGCUUUUAGUAUUCAUCUUUAUAUGAAUACUAUAUUAAUUUACAGUAAAAAGUCAACAAGAGUACAAAAUACAUGACAGUUUUAUCUCUACAUUCCCGCAAUUCCGAAGCUUUGCGUUGCUCGGUUUUACAAACGGGAAGUGUAGUUUAUGGAAGCUUGUCAAUCACUUCAUGUGAAUCAGUUAUCAACCAAUCGGAGCUCUGCGUCCAAAUAUUGCACGCAUACACGUAAACGUUAUAGGGACAUCGCUAGAAAUCGAGGACAUUUGAAUCCCGAAACAUCCUUUACGUAUAUGCCCCUUAUUAACCCUUUCGAUCCCCGGAGUUUCUCAUUCUAGAUAUAACUAUAAAAUGAUAAGGAUUCCAAAAUGAAAACAAACUAAAAGGAUUACAAAAUAUAAACAAAUAAAAAAAAAAAGAAAAGGGCUUUCGAGUGAUAUAUUUUGAGCCAUUUUUGCCUAAAAAAUCAUCGCCAAAUUGAAAAAUACUAGAACCGGAUGAUUGUCUCUAAUAAACGAACCUUCGAUUUUAUGCAAACUUGGAAUGACACAAAUAAUCAUUGACACCACAGAUUAAGGUGUGCGAACAAUUAUUUCGGCUACUAAUAUCUGCAUAUUAUUAAAUUUUACCAUACUGCAGUUUUAAGUUCAUCGAUUAUUAAGCCGUAGUAUGACUUUGCGAAAGGUGGAUUAUUGUCGUUUCGGUAAAUUAGUUACAAAUCUUGCCCGUAGAUUUAAGUAUCGUAAAUAAUCAUUAUAUUUUAUUAUUGCUUUUCGUUUUCUUUCUUAUUUCCUUGAUUAGUUUACGGAAUUUUGUUUCCACACUAUAAAAUUUUAAUUUGAUAUGAUUCUUCAAAGAUAUUUGAUGUAAAAUUUGGAUAACCAUCUGCAUUACUGAUAAGAAUUGAAUAUCAGAGUGAACAUGGGGACUGGGGCGAAAAUGGCGCUGCAUUCCAAAUGCCCGCGAUUUCUAGUGAUAUCCUUGCAUGCUCCAUUGAACUAUAAAUAAACUGGAACGAUAAGUUCGCCACCAUCUUUGAAGCCGGCCAUGAGUGUUUUCUGCAGGUAGCCCCAGUCCUUUUGAAAAUUUUUUUUCAAAAUUUGCACAUUUUUGAAUCAGAAAAAAUCUUGCC